CUCGUACACACCGCCCGUCACACCAUGGGAGUGGGUUUCACCAGAAGUAGGUAGUCUAACCGCAAGGAGGGCGCUUACCACGGUGGGAUUCAUGACUGGGGUG
rnacentral:rRNA from 1 species